rnacentral:rRNA from 1 species
UCAAGCUAAUAAGAGCGUAGGGUGGAUGCCUUGGUACCAAGAGCCGAAGAAAGACGUGGUAAGCUGCGAAAAGCCAUGGGGAGCUGCAAACAAGCAUUGAUCCAUGGAUAUCUGAAUGGGGAAACCCGGCGGUCGUUGAGGGCCGUCAUCGUAACAUGAAUACAUAGUGUUACGAAGGGAACCCGGUGAACUGAAACAUCUAAGUAGCCGGAGGAAGAGAAAGAAACAUCGAUUCCCAAAGUAGCGGCGAGCGAAAUGGGAAGAGCCUAAACCGAAUCUCUACGGAGAGUCGGGGUUACGGACCUGCGGAAUCGAGAUUACUCAUAGUCGAAUAGUAUUGGAAAGUGCAGCCGGAGAGGGUAAAAGCCCCGUAGGCGAAAUGAGGAAUCGAGAGGCGGGUAUCCAGAGUACCACAGGACACGAGGAAUCCGGUGGGAAGUCGGGGGGACCAUCCCCCAAGGCUAAAUACUACUUGGUGACCGAUAGCGUAUAGUACCGUGAGGGAAAGGUGAAAAGAACCCCGGGAGGGGAGUGAAAGAGAACCUGAAACCCUAUGUUUACAAGCAGUGGGAGCGCAAGCGACCAUGUACUUUUUGUAGAACGGGCCGGCGAGUUACUGUGUGUAGCGAGGUUAAGGUGUAGAGCACCGGAGCCGUAGCGAGAGCGAGUCUCAAAUGGGCGAAUAGUUGCAUACAGUAGACCCGAAACCGGGUGACCUAUCCAUGGACAGGAUGAAGCGGUGGUAAAGCACCGUGGAGGUCCGAACCACACGUAUGUUGAAAAAUGCGGGGAUGAGCUGUGGAUAGCGGAGAAAUUCCAAUCGAACUCGGAGAUAGCUGGUUCUCCCCGAAAUAGCUUUAGGGCUAGCCUCGAUUUAGAUUAUUGGGGGUAGAGCACUGAAUGGGCUAGGGGGCCACAAAGCUUACUGAACCCUAUCAAACUGCGAAUACCAAUUAAUUGAUGAUCGGGAGUCAGACAGUGAGAGAUAAGUUCCAUUGUCGAAAGGGAAACAGCCCAGAUCCACGACUAAGGUCCCAAAAUACACGUUAAGUGGAAAAGGAUGUGCAGUUGCACAGACAACCAGGAUGUUGGCUUAGAAGCAGCCACUCAUUCAAAGAGUGCGUAAUAGCUCACUGGUCGAGUGAAUGUGCGCCGAAAAUAUACCGGGGCUAAACGUGAUACCGAAGUCUGGGGAUCAAGAAAUUGAUCGGUAGGGGAGCAACGCAUACGGACAGAAGCAGAAGCGGGAGCGACUGUGGACUGUAUGGGAGAGAGAAUGCCGGCAUGAGUAGCGAGAGCAAAGUGAGAAUCUUUGCCGUCGAAAGCCUAAGGUUUCCUGAGGAAGGCUCGUCCUCUCAGGGUAAGUCGGGACCUAAGCCGAGGACAAGAGUCGUAGGCGAUGGACAACAGGUUGAUAUUCCUGUACCGUACUUAAGCGUUUGACUGAAGCAGUGACACAGAAGGAUAGACAGACCGGGGGAAUGGUAGACUCCGGCCAAGCAGUGAGGCUGACAUGUAGUGAAGUACGCAUGUUAAGGCUGGGCUGUGAUGGGGACUGAAGAUUAGUAAGGAAGCUGUUGAAUUCACACUGGCGAGAAAAGCUGCUAAGGAGCGAGAGUAUGCCCGUACCGCAAACCGACACAGGUAGGCGAGGAGAGAAUCCUAAGACGAGCGGGAGAACCCUUGUUAAGGAACUCGGCAAAAUGACUCCGUAACUUAGGGAGAAGGAGUGCCUCGAGAGAGGCCGCAGAGAAUAGGCCCAAGCGACUGUUUACCAAAAACACAGGUCUGUGCGAAGUAGAGAUACGACGUAUACGGGCUGACGCCUGCCCAGUGCCGGAAGGUUAAGGGGAAGUGUUAGGGCAACCGAAGCACGGAACUUAAGCCCCGGUGAACGGCGGCCGUAACUAUAACGGUCCUAAGGUAGCGAAAUUCCUUGUCGGGUAAGUUCCGACCCGCACGAAUGGCGUAACGACUUGGGCACUGUCUCAACAAGGGACCCGGCGAAAUUGUAGUAUGUGUGAAGAUGCACAUUACCCGCGAUAGGACGGAAAGACCCCGUAGAGCUUUACUGUAGUUUAACAUUGGAUU